AAAACUUUUGUAAUUGAAACCUUUUUCUACUAACUGAAAAACGUUUUAAUUAAAUCUAAAAAAAAACACAAAAACAUUUUAUUCAUUGAAAAGGUUUUUAAAAAGGUGAAAAAGGUUUUGAUAAAUUUUAGAAACCAGAAAACGUUUUAUAAAUUAUAACAAACUUAAAAAAAAAAAUUAUAGAAACUUAAAAUGUUUUAUAAAAAGCUUAAAACGUUAUAUAAAAUUAUAAAAACGUUUUGAAACAAUAAAAGAUAAUAAAAACUUGAAAGCAUUAUAUAUAUAUAUAUUAAUAAAACUUUUCAAUAAUUAUAAAUACACAAAAAAUGUUCGUAUAAAAAUAUUUAACAUAUAAUUUCUAAAAUCUUAAUAUCUAAAAGUUUCAAUCUACAUACAAAACAACAACCUAAAACAAAAUCUAACAACAUAUAACUCCUAAAACUAUCAAUUCUAUCCUAAAUCUUCAGAUUCAAAACCUAAAAUCCACAAUUCUAACAUUCCAACCUAAAAAAAUGUAAUCUGAAGAACGGUUUAGAUGACUUACAUGAUUGGAGAAGAGAUUUGGAGGAUUUGGGGUCGGAGUCACAGAUUUAUGAGAGAGAGAGAGAGGAGUAAGACCGCAAAGAUUGCAGAGGAGAAGAGAAAAAAUGAGGAAGAAGAAGAAGGGUCGGCUUAUGUAUUAAAAAUAAACCGACAGACAGUUUCCGUCGGAAUUCGGUUUGGUUCUUUUUUAAUUGGUUAAUCAAAUAAAUUUUCCAAAUUUUCUUCCCGGGUAAAGUGAAAAAGUCCGACGAAAUUCCGACGAAACCUGUUCGUCACAUUUAUUUCGUCAGAAUUCCGUCAGAAUUUUUUGAGAAUAUCGCCAAAGGAAGCCUCGAGAAACUAUGAGUUUCUGCAUGUCUUUUGAUUGGUCGGGGUUAGAGUCCGUCAGAAUUUCGUCGGUAUUUUCCGUCGGAAUUUGGUCGGAAUUUUCGACGGAUUUCCGACGAAAUUUAGAGAAAUAAGAAUUUGGGGUUUCAAAACAACAGUCUAAUGAUCACAUAGAAAUCUUUGAUAGUAUGUAAAUGAUUUAUAAGAGGUUUAACUAAAAUAAUUACUUGUUUCACUCGAUAUUAUACAAAAUCAAAAUCUACUCUUAUAUUACCGUAAUAUAUUUGUAUAAGUAUAUAAAUGUUAUUGGAGGAUGUCACGAAUACGUUGAUAUGUAUACGUAAAUAACUUUUUUAUAUGAAAAACUUUAACGGUGUGAACUAAUUUCAUAUUAUAAAUUUAUAUAUGUGUUAUUUGGAUAUUUUAAGUAUCAAAUUAUACAUUUAUAAUAACUUUGCCAAUCUAAAAUCUGUUUCGUCGUGGAAAAUUCCGACGACAUUCCGACGAAAGUCAAAAACCCGUCGGAUUUCCGUCGAAAUAUUUCGAUGGAAUUCCGACGAACUUCACAUGCCUAUCGAAACCCCAAAAUUAUAUUAUUCUGUCGGAACUUUGUCGGAUAUUUCCGACGACCUGACUUUCGUCGGUAUUUCGUCGGAAUUUUCCGACGAAAUACCGAUGAAAUACCGACGACCAUGAAAUUAUAUGUUUCGUCGGUAUCUCGUCGGAAUGUCGUCAAAGAAAACCGACGAAAAUAUUGUCCGUCGGAAUGUCCGUCAGAAUGUUGCGUGUUUUCUUGUAGUGGUACCGUACAAUGCAUGAUUUUAUUGAUAGAUGAGUUGGUUCACGUGCGCGCAAACGAGCACCAGCGUCAAGCUGCCUAAGGUCUUGACCACCUCCUGUUAAUCGGGGAAGUUUGAACUAGCUGGAGAGUCAUGAUUUCUUCUCGAAAGCUAUUAUCAACGUUCAGCGAUUGAAUGAAGCUCAUUAGUGCGAAGAAUGAAACACAAAACAAGAAAAGAAGCCCGCCAGAACUAGUUAACAAUACAUCCGGGGUCACAACCAGACCUACCAGCCUAUUUGAUAUCUUAAAUUCUCUGAUAUCCGGAUCCAUCCCAUGCCUAUUUACCGCUACCAAGGCAUUUUACGGAAAUCAAAAUUGCCUUAAUACACAUUACAUAAGAUAAGACACUCCCUCUCCGGCCCUCCCCCGCCACCUGACUUCAUAUUUUCUUUUUCCUUUUCUUACUUCUCUUUUAUUAUUUUGUUAAAAAUAAUAUUAUUUUCUCCAAUUUUCUUUGUUUUGUCAUUUUUAACUUUGAUUUGCUGCCAUUUCAUUUUAUACGUUAAUUACGUUAUGAUUUCAACAAUCCAAAUCUCAUAAUUCGACGAGUGCCUUUGUAUUUUUAUCCUUAUCCAUAACAAAUUUCAAAUUUUAUUAUAUAAUCAAAUGGUCUCACCAUUAAUGUUCUCUCAGCCGAUAUAAUCAGAAUCGGCACCGUAAGAUGUGUCGUCUAUUUUUAACUUCGUUGUAGUCGUGUUCGACAGAAAUCUUCUUAUGAGUCCAUUACAUAAUAAAUUGUGUGUUCAUUUAGUUUAUAAGUUCUAUGAAUAAAUCUCAAUCACUUAUCUUUCCAUUUUGGUUUUUCCGAUUCUUUGAUUAGGGAUUUUGAAUUUGGGUCUUAAAUUGAAGUCUGAUCAAUAAUCCAUAAGUCACAUAAUUUUUAUAUAGCUCAUGAACUACAUGUACUUCUCUUGUCUUUUGUAGGACCAGACCCUACUGUAUGUUAUGAAGUUAACAUAUAUAAUACUAUAUAAUGAAUACUUAAAAUGUUGUACACAAUUCUGUCUUUUUCAUAAAAAAAGUAGGGUCUAUGUGUUAUGUAUUACAAUUUCCAUUCAAAUAUAACCACUGAUUUUCUAAUGAUUCCAUGAAUCAUCUAUGCAUAUGUAUAUUUUGAAUAUGGAUAUCCUUUAUAUAAUGAAGCACAAGUCACCUUACCAAUCAGAUUAUGACACAUGGAAAAUAGUUUUUUAAAAAAAAUAUUCAAGAAAAAUCUAUCCCAAUAUUUCAGCGACAUUUUUUUUUGUUGAAAAAACUUUAUUUUAUUAUUCUCAUAAUAUUUUAUCCACGUUGUUUUAGGUUAACUGACAAUGAUCUCAAACAGUUUUCUUUCUUAUAUUAAUUUUUUCAUCUACAAAUUUGCUUUCUGUUUUUUCCUUUAAUUUUUGAGAUUUUAUCUAUCUUCUCCAUUAUUAAAUGAGCAAAACAACGGAUCCUUUCAUCUCUCCUAGAUUUCAGUUUGAUCUCGACCAGUGCCUUCAUAUCUACUUUCUUUUUGCGCCAAAUCUAAAAUUUUAUCUCUCCUAAAGUUCAUCAUCAACAAGUUCUUAGAUUGAUACGGUGGAUUGUGGCAGUCGAAUUUAAAAUCAACUUGGGAAGAGAUUGAUAUUGGGUUGAUAGCAUGCCUCUUGUGGAGUAUAGUGGCAGUAACGGUAGCUUGGAUCAAAGGAGGAGGGUACUGUUUUACCCGAAUGAUCAGACUCAAUUUGUUAUUUCUACGUAUAUCAUCUACUUAAUUCUUAACUGGAAAAUGUAUCAACGGUGGCUUGAGGUAAAAUCUUGAAUUCUCCACACAACAUUUGACACAAACCCGUCUCUCUGCAAAGUCUAGGCCGACAAUUUUUAUGUUUGUUUGAAUUACUUUGUAAAGAAUAAUAAAGUACAUGGAGACCUCUAGCCAAAACUGUAUGGUUUAAAAUAAACUAAAUUUGUAAAUUUUAAUCUUAAAAAUUCAACAAACUAUCGAAAGAACUAACUUGGGUUUUUUUUAAUUGUGCGUUUUUCUAAAAAUCUUUUAUAUAUUAGAUCACAAGUCAACUAACCUAUCAAAUUUCAACACAUGUCAUAUUUUUACAAAAAUAAAAUUAAAAAUAAUUGAAAAAACUAUGUCAUUCGAUUUCUAAUGUUUGAAAAAAUGUCCAUAUGCGUUUACCAUUAUCCUACUUAUAUUUCAUGUUUAAAUAAAAAAUAUUUUAUGUGUUUUUCUUUUGUUUUUGUUGUUUGUGUAGUUUAACAGUGUAGAUGAUAUUCCUUAAAAAAUCACCAAAUUUUGGAAGAAAAAAAAUUAGCAUGUGCGUAAUGGAUAAUAUUAGAACACAAAUCACAAUUUAUGACACAUAAUUUAUGCUUUUCAAAAAACAAUGAAAGCUAAUUAGUUAUCGACAUGAUAAAAUUUAAGCAAAUCACAAAAUUUUAAAAGUUAAAUAAACUUUCUAUAAAUUAAAAGAACUCCACGAUU